GACGAACGCUGGCGGCGUGCUUAACACAUGCAAGUCGAACGGAAAGGCCCUGCUUUUGUGGGGUGCUCGAGUGGCGAACGGGUGAGUAACACGUGAGUAACCUGCCCUUGACUUUGGGAUAACUUCAGGAAACUGGGGCUAAUACCGGAUAGGAGCUCCUGCUGCAUGGGGGGGGUUGGAAAGUUUCGGCGGUUGGGGAUGGACUCGCGGCUUAUCAGCUUGUUGGUGGGGUAGUGGCUUACCAAGGCUUUGACGGGUAGCCGGCCUGAGAGGGUGACCGGCCACAUUAGGCCUGAGAUACGGCCCAGUCUCCUACGGGAGGCAGCAGUGGGGAAUAUUGCACAAUGGGCGGGAGCCUGAUGCAGCAACGCCGCGUGCGGGAUGACGGCCUUCGGGUUGUAAACCGCUUUCGCCUGUAACGAAGCGUGAGUGACGGUAAUGGGUAAAGAAGCACCGGCUAACUACGUG
rnacentral:rRNA from 1 species